AUGACAAAUUUCCAGUGCAAAAAAUAAUAAUAAUAAUAAAUGAAAAACAUGUGUACUAAACUUGUUUGCAAUAUCUGAUGAUAUACAUUUCAUUUUGCUACUGAGUGCAAUAGUAUAUAUGUGCACUACUUUUUAAAAAAUGUUAAGUGUUCUGAUAUUUUUGUAAUUUUGUGUCCUGAUUUUUUUUUUUUUUUUUUAAGCCACUACAAAGUCUCUAGAGAUAUUUCAAGAUUUCUCUCCUCAGUCAUGGAUUAAAGAACAGAAAUUCACUACAUAAUUGCCACAAUAGUCGGAGCUUUCCCGAGUCUUGCUGUGCUAUACUCUCCUGUUUGAACAGAUAUUUGACCAUAAAAAAAUAAAACUGCUUCUUGUAAUUUCCUGCAACAGUCAGAUAUCUCUACUAAAGGAAUCUACUGCUGUGAAUACUUGUAAAGAGGUCUCACACUCAAGAAAGGUUUUAUAGUUCUGCAAGAGAUUUUGAAUAUUUUGGCCAAGCUUAAAAAGACGGCAAAAAGCUGAAAAGAGAAGCAAAGUUGCUACAGGAAAAGGUGGAGAUGAAUGUGAUGUCCAAGAAGGCUCUCAAGUUGCAGCUGCAAUUGGCGAUAUUAAUGCUGCAGAACAUGAAUUUGUUUUGUGUCUGUCAAGCAUUAAUG